rnacentral:rRNA from 1 species
UACGUAGGGGGCAAGCGUUGUCCGGAUUUAUUGGGCGUAAAGAGCGUGUAGGCGGCUAGGUAGGUCCGUUGUGAAAACUCGAGGCUCAACCUCGAGACGUCGGCGGAAACCCUCUGGCUAGAGUCCGGAAGAGGAGAGUGGAAUUCCUGGUGUAGCGGUGAAAUGCGCAGAUAUCAGGAAGAACACCCGUGGCGAAGGCGGCUCUCUGGGACGGUACUGACGCUGAGACGCGAAAGCGUGGGGAGCGAACAGG